UCUGAUCUAUGAUGACUAAAAAAAAAAGAUUGAUGACUGUUGGAUGAAGCUUGCGGAUAUGGGACUGAGAUCAGCC
rnacentral:snoRNA from 1 species